UACGUAGGGGGCAAGCGUCGUCCGGAUUUAUUGGGCGUAAAGAGCGUGUAGGCGGCCUGACAGGUCUGCUGUGAAAACUCGAGGCUCAACCUCGAGAUGUCGGCGGAAACCGUCUGGCUAGAGUCCGGAAGAGGAGAGUGGAAUUCCUGGUGUAGCGGUGAAAUGCGCAGAUAUCGUAAGGAAGACCAGUGGCGAAGGCGGGUCUCUGGACAGUUCCUGACGCUGAGGCACGAAGGCCAGGGGAGCAAACGGG
rnacentral:rRNA from 1 species